rnacentral:misc_RNA from 1 species
AACCAUUCUCACCUGCGGCUAGACCUGCGGAGGGAUCAUUAUCGAGUUGCAAAACUCCAACCCUUUGUGAACAUACCUCAGUCGUUGCUUCGGCGGUGGACGGCCUGUUUUUCGGAACGGCCGGAAGCCGCCGGAGGUUCCAAACUCGUAUUUUUUAGUGUAUCUCUGAGCCUGAAAACAAAUAAUCAAAACUUUCAACAAUGGAUCU